CUGCCAACAACAAGCUUGAGGGUUUAUAUUCCUGCAAACAUCAGUUCUUGCAGUGCACUGAACAAAUUUAAUGUGUAUGGCAAUAGACUGAAUGGCUCUAUCCCUGGUCAGUUAGCAUGUUUGUAGUUUCAUAGUUUCAGUUUGGCCAAAUAUGGAACAACUCCAGUCAGCAAUUCACUUCAUUGUAAGUUGUAACAACCAUUGUUACCAAGCUGAUAUCGUGGAUUAGGCAACGUUACUUGUAUAACACAUUGUAUGCUUCAAAUUUAGUUGUCAACCAAACAUGCCACAACUUGAGUUUUUUUAAUUACUUCUGCG